CCCUUAGAUGUCCUGGGCCGCACGCGCGCUACACUGAUGCAUUCAACAAGCCUAGCCUUGACCGAGAGGUCCGGGUAAUCUUUGAAACUGCAUCGUGAUGGGGCUAGAUUAUUGCAAUUAUUAAUCUUCAACGAGGAAUGCCUAGUAAGCGUGAUUCAUCAAAUCGCGUUGAUUACGUCCCUGCCCUUUGUACACACCGCCCGUCGCUCCUACCGAUUGAAUGUGUUGGUGAGGAGCUCGGAUUGGCAGCAGUUGGUGGUUCGCCACCGGCUAUUGCUGAGAAGUCCUCCAAACCGCCCCAUUUAGAGGAAGGAGAAGUCGUANCA
rnacentral:rRNA from 1 species